CCUACGGGAGGCAGCAGUGGGGAAUAUUGGGCAAUGGGCGCAAGCCUGACCCAGCAACGCCGCGUGAAGGAAGAAGGCUUUCGGGUUGUAAACUUCUUUUCUCAGGGACGAAGCAAGUGACGGUACCUGAGGACUAAGCCACGGCUAACUACGUGCCAGCAGCCGCGGUAAUACGUAGGUGGCAAGCGUUAUCCGGAUUUACUGGGUGUAAAGGGCGUGUAGGCGGGAAAGCAAGUCAGAUGUGAAAACCAUGGGCUCAACCUGUGGCCUGCAUUUGAAACUGUUUGUCUUGAGUACUGGAGAGGCAGACGGAAUUCCUAGUGUAGCGGUGAAAUGCGUAGAUAUUAGGAGGAACACCAGUGGCGAAGGCGGUCUGCUGGACAGCAACUGACGCUGAGGCGCGAAAGCGUGGGGAGCAAACAGGAUUAGAUACCCUAGUAGUC
rnacentral:rRNA from 1 species